GAGGGGGAUCGCAAGACCUCUUGCUUUAGGAGCGGCCGAUGUCGGAUUAGCUAGUUGGUGAGGUAAAGGCUCACCAAGGCGACGAUCCGUAGCGGGUCUGAGAGGAUGAUCCGCCACACUGGGACUGAGACACGGCCCAGACUCCUACGGGAGGCAGCAGUGGGAAUUUUGGACAAUGGGCGCAAGCCUGAUCCAGCCAUGCCGCGUGAGUGAAGAAGGCCUUCGGGUUGUAAAGCUCUUUCGGUGGGGAAGAAAUUGCUUCGGUUAAUACCUGGAGUAGAUGACGGUACCCGCAUAAGAAGCACCGGCUAACUACGUG
rnacentral:rRNA from 1 species